UACGUAGGGUCCGAGCGUUGUCCGGAAUUAUUGGGCGUAAAGAGCUCGUAGGCGGUUUGUCGCGUCUGCUGUGAAAUCCCGAGGCUCAACCUCGGGCCUGCAGUGGGUACGGGGCAGACUGGAGUGCGGUAGGGGAGAAUGGAAUUCCUGGUGUAGCGGUGGAAUGCGCAGAUAUCAGGAGGAACACCGAUGGCGAAGGCAGUUCUCUGGGCCGUAACUGACGCUGAGGAGCGAAAGCGUGGGGAGCGAACAGG
rnacentral:rRNA from 1 species